GGUUUUUACAAGAGCUCAAAACAGCUUCCUAUGCUUGGGUUGUAGUCUACUUUUUCACGUGUUUUUACAAGAGCAAUAAACAGCAUCCCAUGCUUGGGUUUUAGUGAACUUUUUCAUGUGAAUAACAGCAUAGACAUGGAAAGAGAAUGCAUCCUCAAAGCAGUGUGUGUAUACUUAAAGGAGGACCAUCUACAGCUGUUCUAGGAGUACAAUGAUUGCGACUGGGUGAAUGCUAAAGAAGCCAUAGAGCAGAUGGUAAUGGGGAUCUACAUCGUCCAAUCCGAAGGACACCAACCAGGGGAUAAAACUGUGGACGUUGGUAUCGUGAUUGAAGGGACUGAGGUUCUCUGCUCUUUGAAGAAUGUAGCUGUAGCAGUGGCCAUGGCUUGGACUUACCCACGAGAACACAAAGCUACAUUUGAGGUCAUCCGGAAUGUUUUCUUUAACUUGGAUGGACAAAAACUUUCACCAAAGGUUCAAGCCCUCAAGUACAAGAUGCUUGAGUAAGUUACCUAAUGUGUGUAUUCUCAAAAGACUAAAUCUUGACUUCAGAAGGUAUUAGCUGUGAAUAUACAUUGAAAUAUCAAUAUUGUUCAUCUUGGAUGAUAUUUUUUGUAUUUUUUCACCUGAAAAUUUGCCUUGAAAUAAGAAUAAAGAGAAACUUGUGACAUUCACUUUGAGAACAUUUUAUUUUUGCAUUAAAUUACAUUUUGAUAGACAUGCCAAUAAUUAAACAUUUGUUUGAAGUAAAUAAAGUUGUAAAAUUAACUUAACAGUAGUAGUUGACACUAUUUCUGUUUAAGUGAUUAAGAUUAAUUGGCUCAACAAGAUUAAAUAGUUUACAGAAAUUCCGAAAUAAUGAUUAAAAUGAAAAUGAUUUGAUCUUGUUGGUUCAAAAUGAAUUUUGCUCUUGGGUUCCAUUUGCCUAAAUUAAGUUGAGACAACACCAUUCAAAUGUGUGGAAAUAGGUGUCAUAAUUAUAUUAAGUUAGACCAACGAU